rnacentral:tRNA from 2 species
GGGUCGGUAGCUCAGUUGGUAGAGCAGUAGGCUUUUAACCUAUUGGUCCUGGGUUCGAUUCCCAGCCGACCCACCA